AAGUCGUAACAAGGUUUCCGUAGGUGAACCUGCGGAAGGAUCAUUAUGAAUUUGAGUUGUCUCGGCUCUCUUCUCUCUUUUCCUUAGGGAGAGGGGUGGAGUCGGGCUUCUUUUUUUCUGUGAACUGGAUCUUCUUUGGCUUGCCUGCCCUUUUUUUUCUUUUUUUUUUCUUUCUCUGCUUUGCGCUGCUCGCUUUUUUUGCUUGCAGUGCGGGGAGAGAAAGAAAGAGACAAAGAGAGAGCAGUGCAAACCAAAGAAGAUUGCUUGAAUUUGUUUUCUGUUGUAUUUUGUUCUUUUACAAGUUUUUCUUUGUAAUGAAAAGACAACUUUCAGCAAUGGAUCUCUUGGCUCUU
rnacentral:misc_RNA from 1 species